UACGAAGGGGGCUAGCGUUGUUCGGAUUUACUGGGCGUAAAGCGCACGUAGGCGGAUCGAUCAGUCAGGGGUGAAAUCCCAGGGCUCAACCCUGGAACUGCCUUUGAUACUGUCGAUCUGGAGUAUGGAAGAGGUGAGUGGAAUUCCGAGUGUAGAGGUGAAAUUCGUAGAUAUUCGCAGGAACACCAGUGGCGAAGGCGGCUCACUGGCUCGAUACUGACGCUGAGGUGCGAAAGCGUGGGGAGCAAACAGG
rnacentral:rRNA from 1 species